GACAGAGGCCUCAAGCGUUAGGCGGAAUCACUGGGCGUAAAGCGCACGUAGGCGGAUUGCUAAGUCAGGGGUGAAAUCCUGGAGCUCAACUCCAGAACUGCCCUUGAUACUGGCGGUCUCGAGUCCGGGAGAGGUGAGUGGAACUGCGAGUGUAGAGGUGAAAUUCGUAGAUAUUCGCAAGAACACCAGUGGCGAAGGCGGCCUCACUGGCCCGGUACUGACGCUGAGGUGCGAAAGCGUGGGGAGCAAACAGG
rnacentral:rRNA from 1 species